CGCGUUUUUUAACGUUUGUUCGAAAUACGUCACACAUGACGAAUCGCAGUUCGAUUGUGUUUCUCGUUGCUGUCGGACGUGCUUUUCUUUCGCUCUUGGAUUGCGUGCUGUUUUCUGCGGUUUCGUGCCUUUUACAGAGAAGAUUGAAGAUUUUUUAGGAUGAAGACGUUGGUGCGUUGUUGGAGGCGGUUCCGGCGGAGGCAGGCGGUGGCGCCGGAGGGAGAGGGUUCCUCGGACGACGCGGAACGAGUCUGUCGUUCCGUGCCGUUGGAGGAGCGGGGGCUCGACGAGCGACAGGCAGCGGGUGAAGAAGGCCUUCGCCAAGUGCGCGUGGCGUGGCAUCCUCUCGGAGUAGGGAUAAUGCGACGCUACACCCUGGGUCCAGUGCGCUUGGCCGAGGUCUUCGGGGGUCAUCCGGCCACAGACCUUGCUGUGGAGGAUGUUGAAAGUAUGAGCUCGGACGAGCUGUCACUUUCUGUUUGGUCGCGUUCUGCCCGUUCGUCCGCGACGGCGACGCCACCGCCUCACCGAAGUCGGAACGGGAAGGAGUCGGAGGAGAGAGCCCCCGAAGUCAAGGGACCGUGCUGUCCGUGGUUUUUUUGCUGCGGACGGUUGCGGUUGCCUUGGCCUAGGCGGUGAUCUUCUUCGAUUUCCUCUUCUUCACCCGGAUGCGACUUUCUUACCGGAUUCGACCCUUUUCACCCGGACAUGACACCUUUUAACGGACGUGAUCUCGCUUAUCCGGACGUGACCCACGGACUUGACACGUUUCUUCACCGGACGCGACAUUCGGCCGACCUUUAUUCCCAAACAGCUGUUAUGAGGAUUGAGCUUCCGGUUAGGGUUCGUUAGGUUAGCCUAGGCUAAGCCGGGUCCUUCGCUCUUCUCGUAACACUGUUCGGGAAGAAAGACUGUCUGAAAAAGGUAAUAAUCUUGACCUUAGGUAAUAAAUGAAUAAACUUCUCGUUUUCUCACUGUCUUUGUGUUUUGUAGGAACACUUGGGAGGGAGAACAAUCUCCCUCCCCAACUUUACCACGAAGAGGACCAAGUGACAAGUGAAUAUUUUCCGAUGACAUGCCGAAGAUGUUCUUCGAUCACACACAUACACACACACGCACGGACAUAACACCACUGUACACGAAGAUAUACACCGUUUAACCUUUACUCGAAUUCUCGCACUCACGCACUUA
rnacentral:lncRNA from 1 species